UGACCAUCCCGAGCGGCCGAGAGAUCUGGCUCAAUGACGCCGCAGCAACCCUGGUCGACGCCACCACAAAGGCGCCGAUGCUGGCAGGGUGCUACCGCCAGAACCGAUGGAGU
rnacentral:ncRNA from 2 species